GACGAACGCUGGCGGCGUGCUUAACACAUGCAAGUCGUACGGUAAGGCCCUUUCGGGGGUACACGAGUGGCGAACGGGUGAGUAACACGUGAGUAACCUGCCCACAACUUUGGGAUAACGCUAGGAAACUGGUGCUAAUACUGGAUAUGUGCCCCUGCUGCAUGGUGGGGGUUGGAAAGCUCCGGCGGUUGUGGAUGGACUCGCGGCCUAUCAGCUUGUUGGUGGGGUAGUGGCCUACCAAGGCGGCGACGGGUAGCGGGCCUGAGAGGGUGACCGGCCACAGUGGGACUGAGAUACGGCCCAGACUCCUACGGGAGGCAGCAGUGGGGAAUAUUGCACAAUGGGCGCAAGCCUGAUGCAGCAACGCCGCGUGCGGGAUGACGGCCUUCGGGUUGUAAACCGCUUUCAGCAGGGACGAAGCUUUUUGUGACGGUACCUGCAGAAGAAGCACCGGCUAACUACGUG
rnacentral:rRNA from 1 species